rnacentral:rRNA from 1 species
GACGAACGCUGGCGGCGUGCCUAAUACAUGCAAGUUGAGCGCUGAAGGUUGGUACCUGUACCAACUGGAUGAGCAGCGAACGGGUGAGUAACGCGUGGGGAAUCUGCCUUUGAGCGGGGGACAACAUUUGGAAACGAAUGCUAAUACCGCAUAAAAACUUUAAACACAAGUUUUAAGUUUGAAAGAUGCAAUUGCAUCACUCAAAGAUGAUCCCGCGUUGUAUUAGCUAGUUGGUGAGGUAAAGGCUCACCAAGGCGAUGAUACAUAGCCGACCUGAGAGGGUGAUCGGCCACAUUGGGACUGAGACACGGCCCAAACUCCUACGGGAGGCAGCAGUAGGGAAUCUUCGGCAAUGGACGAAAGUCUGACCGAGCAACGCCGCGUGAGUGAAGAAGGUUUUCGGAUCGUAAAACUCUGUUGGUAGAGAAGAACGUUGGUGAGAGUGGAAAGCUCAUCAAGUGACGGUAACUACCCAGAAAGGGACGGCUCACUACGUG